UAUUUAUUUAGCUACGUGUGUGUGUGUGUGUGUGUGCGCACACACACACACACACACAAAUAAAUAAAUG